rnacentral:tRNA from 1 species
GUCCACAUAGCUUAAUGCCAAA